UACAGAGGUCUCAAGCGUUGUUCGGAUUCAUUGGGCGUAAAGGGUGCGUAGGCGGCGCGGUAAGUCGGGUGUGAAAUCUCGGAGCUUAACUCCGAAACUGCAUUCGAUACUGCCGUGCUUGAGGACUGGAGAGGAGACUGGAAUUUACGGUGUAGCGGUGAAAUGCGUAGAUAUCGUAAGGAGGACCAGUGGCGAAGGCGGGUCUCUGGACAGUUCCUGACGCUCAGGCGCGAAAGCUAGGGGAGCGAACUGG
rnacentral:rRNA from 1 species